UAUCUCUGUAGAGUCUGCAUAUCAAUAAGCGGAGGAAAAGAAACUAACAAGGAUUCCCUAGUAACGGCGGAGUGAAGCGGGAAGAGCUCAAAUUUGAAAUCUUAAAGGUUCUACCUUGACGAAUUGUAGUUUAUAGAAGUGUUUUCUGUUAGUGGGUUCGGUAAAAGUUCUUUGGAAUAGGACAUCAUAGAGGGUGAGAAUCCUGUAUUUGACCGUUACUUACCUAGCUGUGUGAUACACUUUCAAAGAGUCGGAUUGUUUGGGAAUGCAGUCCAAAAUGGGUGGUAAAUUUCAUCUAAAGCUAAAUAUUGGCGAGAGACCGAUAGCGAACAAGUACCGUGAGGGAAAGAUGAAAAGAACUUUGAAAAGAGAGUUAAACAGUACGUGAAAUUGUCAAAAGGGAAGCGUUUAACACCAGUGUUGUUUUUCCGAAAAUCAAUUACGAAUGUUUUAGUUUUUGAGGAGUUAUGACUUCAUCGGCUUGCUCUUUCUUUAUGAAACUUUCUUAAUGCACUUUUCGGUUAACAAGUCAACAUCAAUUUCUUUUGUUGUAAAAGGGUAUGAGGAAGGUGGCUUUCUUUUCGGAGAAAGUGUUUAUAGCCUUGUGCCUCUGCAAUCGGAGAGAUUGAGGUCUGCAGCGUAGAUCCUUCGGGGUUAGAUACAUUUGUGCUAAGUUAUAGCUUUUCCAUAGACAACUUGUUGACUAUGUUUAGUCUUGUAGCUUACUCGCUUACUGCUAUUUUACCUACGCUUAGGAUGUUGAUGUGAUACUGCGAGCA
rnacentral:rRNA from 1 species